CUAACAUUUGUGCAGUGUAAAAAAAUUUACAUAACUUCAGUUCGACAUUGGAUCUUCAAGAAAAGUCUAUCACUUUCUUAAAAAUCGCAUUCGCAUCGGUGAUCCGUAGCGGGUUUUUGGUAUCCAUGGACUGCCGUGUUUGUUUACCAUCAGGCAACUCGCAUGCUCGUUUACCCGCUAUAUGGCAUGUCCUCCGUAAGCUAGCGCCGCGCUGCGGCUGGCGUUGACACGUACCCGACAGACACGGAUUAAGGUUAUCUGCAUCACAAAGCCGAGUCCGCACCGAGCGGCGCUGGAUCUCUGAGGUAGUGUGAACUGCGCUUUACAGCGGCGAAAAUUGAAAAAUACUUCAGGUGGAUUUCGAAACAAGUGAUUGUGAGAGGAUAAGUUUCGUGGUUAUAAGUAGCAUGAAACGUUGCAUAAGAACAAGCACAGCUGAUUGCACAACAUUAAAAGUGUAAGUCCACCGGCAUGGGCCACUUCCAGGGACUUCCACACAGGCGGAUUCAAAGCAGCUUGCGUCCAACGUCUUUCUGCGACUUUUACCAGAUAUGGUACUAAUGGAAGGUAAAAUCUGAAAAUAUGGCGAUUGGCGAUAAAAUGGUACAUAGGUACAAACCAUAUAAGGAGAUCUACAAAAUACAAACUAAAUUUAAU